rnacentral:rRNA from 1 species
UACGUAGGGCGCAAGCGUUAUCCGGAUUCACUGGGUUUAAAGGGAGCGUAGGUGGGUUAGUAAGUCCGUGGUGAAAUCUCUGAGCUUAACUCGGAAACUGCCAUGGAUACUAUUAGUCUUGAAUAUUGUGGAGGUUAGCGGAGUAUGUCAUGUAGCGGUGAAAUGCUUAGAUAUGACAUAGAACACCCAUUGCGAAGGCAGCUUACUACGGAGACAUUGACACUGAGGCACGAAAGCGUGGGGAUCAAACAGG